UAGUCCUUAUAAAAAUUGUCUGGUCAGACAAAUAUAACUAGUAUAAAAAGUCCAUGGAUACAGAAUUUACUAGUAUAUUUAGUCUGAUGUCAGUAAUUUAUGUCCCCAGACUAAUUUUCCUAGUCCAAGACAUCACUAUUCCUAGGUAAAAAUGUCCAGUUUUUAUACGGCCGCAAAAAAUUUUUGCAGUCGUAUAUUGGUAUGACAUUGGCGUCUUCGUCCGAAGACACAUUGGUUUUCGCACAAUAACUUUAGUUUAAGUGAAUGGAUCUAUAUGAAAUUUUACCAUAAGGUUCAAUACCACAAAAGGAAGGUUCGGAAUGAUUUUUGGGGUUAUGGUAACAACAGUUAAGGAAUUAGGGGCCAAAAAGGGGCCAAAAAUAAGCAUUUUUGUAACUUCCAGACAAUAACUUGUAUGUUAGUGUAUGGAUCUCUCUGACAUUGUACCACAAGGUUCCAUAUCACAAAGGGAAUGCUGGGAUUGAUUUUGGGGGUAAUUGCCUCAAAAUUUUAGGAAUUAGGGGCCAAAAAAGGGGCAAAAAACAAGCAUUUUUCUAGUUUCAUGACAAUUACUUGUGUGUAAGUGUAUGGAUCUUUCUGAAAUUGUACUACAAGGUUCCAUAUCACAAAGGGAAAGCUGGAAUUGAGUUUGGGGGUAAUUUCCCAAAAACUUUUAGGAAUAAGGGGCCAAAAAGGGGCUAAAAAUAAGCAUUUUUCUAGUUUCCAGACAAUAACUUGUGUUCAAGUAUAUGGAUCUCUCUGAAAUUGUACUGCAAGGUACCAUACCACAAAGGGAAGGCUGGGAUUGAUUUUGGGGGUAAUGGGCUUAAAAUAUUAGGAAUUAGGGGCUAAAAAGGGGCAAAAAACAAGCCUUUUUCUAGUUUCAGGACAAUAACUUGUGUGUAAGUGUAUGAAUCUUUAUGAAAUUGUACUACAAGGUUCCAUAUCUCAAAGGGAAAGCUGGGUUUGAGUUUGGGGGUAAUUGCCCUAAACGUUUAGGAAUUUGGGGCCAAAAAGGGGCAAAAAAACAAGCAUUUUUCUAGUUUCCAGACAAUAACUUGUGUUCAAGUGUAUGGAUCUUUCUGAAAUUGUACUGCAAGGUACCAUACUACAAAGGGAAGGCUGAGAUUGAGUUUGGGGGUGAUGAAUCAUAAAGGGAUUAAAAAAAUGGGGGGGGGAUUUUUUUUUCCUAUUUUUUUUCUUCAAAAUUUUCCAUUUUAAGUUGGUUAUUUUUUAUUUAUGUAUAAAAGCAAAUAAUAAUGAUAUGAUUUGAUUUCAUCAAAAAUUGAAAUAUUGGGCUUCUUUGAUAUGCUGAAUUUAACCGUGUAUUUAGAUUCUUAAUUUUUGGUCCCGUUUUCCAAUUGGUCUACAUUAAGGUCCAAAGGGUUCAAAAUUAAACUUAGUUUGAUUUUAACAAAAAUUGAAUUCUUGGGGUUCUUUGAUAUGCUGAAUCUAACCGUGUAUGUAUUUAGAUUUUGGAUAUUGGACCAUAAUAGGUAAAUUAAAAAAUUUUAAGUUCUUAGACCACAUUCAUUCUGUGUCAGAAACCUAUGCUGUGUCAAAUAUUUAAUCGCAAUCCAAAUUCAGAGCUGUAUCAAGCUUGAAUGUUGUGUCCAUACUUGCCCCAACUGUUCAGGGUUCUAACUCUGCGGUCGUAUCAAGCUGCACCCAGAGGAGCAUUUUAUUCUAAUACUGUAUGCAAUAUGUCAAGUAUAUUUGGUGUAUGAAAAUUUUUAAGGAUGUACAUGUUAGUCUGGCAUGUUUUAUUCGACCUUGACCUCAUUUUUAUGGUUCAUUGCUCAAUGUUAUUUUUUUGUUUUUUUGUCAGUUUUUCUAUUUUCUUAUUUUCAAAUUAGCAAUAGGUCAACUAUAUUUGGUGUAUGGAAUGAUAGUAAGGUGCAUAUCAUGAUAUGUUUGACUGAGAAGUUUCGUCUUACCUUGACUUUAUUUUCAUAGUACAUUGGACAAUGUUUAGUUUUUGUGGUUUGGUCUAUUUUUCGGAUACUGUAAGCAAUAAGGCCCCUAUAUUUGGUGAAUGGAAUGAUUGUAAGAUGCACAUGUCUGUCUGGCAUGUUUUAUAUGACCUUGACCUCAUUUUCAUGGUUCAUUGGUCAAUGAAAAGUUUGCAUUGUUUUGUCAGUUUGUCAUAUGCUUUAAGCAACAGGUAAAUUAUAUUUGGCGGAUGUAACGAUUGUAAGGUGUGCAUGUCUGUCUGGCAGAUUUAUAUAACCAUGACCGUAUUUUAUGGUUCUUUGGUCAAUGCUAAGUUUUCUUGGUUUUUUCUUUUUAUCAGAUAUUAUAAGCAUAUAUGUCUACUUGUAAGUGUAUGGAAUGACUGCAAGGUGUCAUAUAAAAAUAAGAAGUUGUCUGUCUGCCAAGGUUAAUAUUACUGUGACCUCAUUUUCAUAGAAUAUUGAUAAUAUUAAACAAAAAAAAUGAUGAGCAUGACAAGAUAUACAAAUGAUCCAAAAUUGUCAGUUGCCUACUAAUUAUGUAAUAGUAGUUAUUGUCAUUAAAUGAUAAUGUUUACCCUUUUAUGUGUAGGGCAAGAACAUUAAAGAUAAAGGGAAACUAUAAACAAAAGAGAUUAUCAACAAAAAUAGAUUUCAGACAUCAACAAAGCCUAAAUGGUCAGACAUCUUGGUUUUCAUGAUCAUCAUUCAACAGGUCAAUACUGAACAGAAAACUUAAAGUUGAUAUUUUUCUAUAUAGUGUGACUUUUUUAUUAAUUUGAAAUGGAAUGUGUUUUUUUCCUACAUAAGAAAGAGGAAAUUUCAACAUAAUGACUAUAAACAAAAAGGAUCAUAGAUGCACAAGAACUAAAUCAUGUAAAUGCAACAACGUAAUUAUCAAUUGAAAGAAGGGAGGAAUGAAAAAAUAUAUUAGUAAUUUGUUGUCCAAAUGAACUUGCUUUGUCCACUCAUUUAAAUCGCUCCAUCCAAUAAAGAUGUACGGAGGAGGAUUUUUGAAGAACAGAUUGCAAAAAUGUUUUGUCUAAGAAUUGUAGGAAUAUUCUAGUGGAUGAAAUAAUUUAUUUACUUGACUCUUAUGUAGUGGACUGAAUAAUUGUACAUAGCAAGUUGAAACAAGAAAACUAAAACUUAACAGGAAAAGUGUUUAUUUUAUAAAUUUGCAAAUAUAAACGUAAUAUUAUGAACACCACAAAGGUAUAAGAUUCAAAUUGUUUGCAUAUUCAUGUAUUGCAAUGGAACUAUAACAAAGAAAACUUUACCUCAUUAAAAGAGUAAACUAUUAA